rnacentral:lncRNA from 1 species
GAUUUGGUCUUUGCUGGAGGGACUCAUUAUGUCGAGUUGAUUGUGGAUCGGGUGAAGUUCGUCUCUUGGAAGUGGUUCCAAGCUAAGAGCUUUGCGUGUCUCUGCUCCUUAUACGAGUGAGAGGUGCAACCUAUCAUGUGCUGGUAUCAAUAGGGUCUGAGGUGUUGUGUGUGCGGCGCGGUGGCUUUGUGGGGUGUUUUGGCUGGUGGCCCCUGCUCGGUUUUGCUUGGCAGCUUGUUUUUCCUUGAGGGGCUGGUUGUUGUGUUUAGGGGGCCGAUUUUUGUGGUGUCUUUUUGGGGUUUUGUUUUGUGCUCUCUUUUUUCGCAUUUUUACUCGUGUUAUUGUGCCUUUUGGUUGUAUCCCGUGCACCACUGGUGCUGGAUUUCUGUUUGUCUUUAUCUGAUUCUUUUUGUACUUUCAAGUUGUUUCCCAUGUUUUUGCCAUUCAAAAAAAUAAAUAAAUAAAACAAUGGUGUUUUUUUUCUUUUCCAUGAAAUAAUAUUUCCUUUUAUAAGAACACAAUAUCUGGAAAUGAACUCCUAUCCAUUAUAAGAUCAAGUGCCAAAUGCCAAAGCAUUACCGUCUAACAAGAUUAAUUACAAAGAGGAAUGGUUCGUGCAAUUUCAGAGAAAUUUUUUGUCAUGUCUUUUGGCAUUUUCUCAAGUUUUAUGAAGCCUGUUUGGAUUGACUUAUAUUAAUGUUUAUGCAAAACAAUUUAUUAAAUAAAUAAAUUUUUAUGUAUAAUUUAUAAGUUUGUUAAUGUAGUAUAUGAAAAAAACUCAUGAACAUACAAUGUUCGUUAGUGAAAACUUGUAAAUUAACAUAAAAACUUCUUUAAUUGUAUAAACUAUUUUUCAUAAGCAUAAAUUAAGCUCAAUCCAAACGGUACAUGAUUUUAUGAAGAAAAAAAAAAAGAAUUAAUAAUUUUAUAAGAACUUAAAUAAAAAAUUGAGAUUCAUAAAAAAAAAAUAAAAAAUUGAGAUUCAUAAAAAAAAUAAAAUAAAAUUGAUAUGCUAUUUUCUUUAAAAGAAAAAAUUAGUUAUUUUGGGUUAAUAAUUAUUUCAUAAAUGAGAAUUGAUGUUCCCACAUUUGAUAAGGCUAUGGCACACGAGUAAUUUACGUUUUUGCCCCCUCGACAGUUAAUUACUGAUGAAUUAGAACUUCGGCUGCAGUUAACUGCUGAGGAAAACCUCGGGAAUUAACUGCCGAUGAACUUAAAACUUGAAAUUAAAUAAGGAAAUACACUAAGUUUUUCCUUAAUUAAAUUUAAUUCUUUAAUAAGGAAAUAUUUGUAAUUAUUUGUAAUUAAUUUCAUUGAUGUCUAUCAUUAUUCAAGGUAAUAAAAAAUAUUCUUUUUUUAAAAGGUAAUAAAAAAAUAUUCUUAAUCUUAACCAAUAUAUAUUCUUAAUAUUUAUUUUUUUUCUUAAUAUUUAUUCUUAAUAGUGCUAAGAUUUAACUCAUAAAAUUAAAUGUAAAUUAGAUUCAAUUUUCUUAAUAUUUAUUCUUAAUAGUGCUAAGUUUUAUAGGAAGGAAGAUGUAAAAACAAUUUUAUUGGCUAUUGGUUAUGGAAAAAAUGAAAGAGAGAGAAAAUUGAAUGUAAUUUGCAUUUUAUUUUAUGAGUCAAAUCUUAGGACUAUUAAGAAUAAAUAUUAAAAAAAUUAAAUAUAAUUUGCAUUUAAUUUUAUGAGUCAAAUCUUAGCACUAUUAAGAAUAAAUAUUAAGAAGAAAAAAAAAAAUUCUAGGAGAAGAAGCCAAGAUAUAAUGGUAUUUUGUUUAUAAUAAACACAAUUAAUUUAGAAACAUGCAAGUGUACGUGUAUGUAAAAUCAACAAAUCAUCAAACACAUUUCAUAUUCUAGGAGAAGAAGCAUCCACGAGCGUCUGAAAUCAUCAACACUGUUCAACUAUGUUUCGAUUAUCUCUUUUUUAAAGCUUCAACAAAACAGUAUAAUAAAAAAGGUAUGAAAUAGUUAAAGUGCCGAAGAAGUUUUUUUUUUUUUCUUCUCUUUUUUCGUCGGCAGUUAACUGCAACCGGUUCUUUAACUUCGAUAGUUAACUGCCGCAUGGGUAUUUUCGUCUUUUAUAUGUGUUUUUCACCUUAUGUGUCGACAACAAUUCUCUUAAUAAAUAAACGGUUAAACUAUUAACCCAAAAUAAAAUUAAAAAGGUAAUUUCUACGGUACACUCAACAAAAUUGAGUGCAUCGGUACACCUACAUAUUAAAUUAAUAGUUUAAUGAGUUACUUUUUAAAAAAAAAUAUAUUUUCUAUCAGUUAUAAUUAUAAUAAUUAUAUUUUAUUUCUCAAAAGUGUCCGCAGAUCAAAAUUCAAUUUUUUUUAUUUUUAUUACUCAUAAUAUAGUGAAUAUUGAUUAUUUUUUCGAUAAAAUUUUAAAAAAAUUGUAUGAUUCUUAAAAAAAAUGAAAUGAUGUUUUUUCUUAUGAAAUAAUAUUUUCUAAAAUAUAAAAGUCAACAAAUAUCUCUUUAUUACAUAAAAAUAAUCAUUAACGUAUUGAUUUAUGAAAUAGGUGUCUACCUUAGAUACUUCCGAUUAAAAAAAAAAAAAAAAAAACACUUUCUUAUUCGAAUCUUGAAUGGCUUCUUCUUCUUCUUCCCAUGGAUGCUACCGCCAUCAUCAUCACCACUGCCAACACUGUCCCCUUCGCCAUCAUUGCCACCACUGCCCACUCCACAACAACAACCCCAACCCUCCUCACUUCUCGCAAUUCAAUUUCACUUCUCCUCAUCUUCUUCCUCAAACUCAUUCUCAAAAUAUCUUUCCUCUCAAUCAACCUAUCAAUGCUUCUGCUGCUCAGUAAGUUCCUUUCAUUCUUCUCUUGUUGGUAUUAAUUAGCGUUUUUUAUUUUGAUUCAGUCUCUGCAAAUUCUAGAAAUUGAUUUUUUAGUCCUGAUGUAGGCACUACGUAUGAUUUUAGGGAUUAAAAUCAUAUUUAAACCUUAAUUUUAUGAAUUUAACUAGUAUACUCUGGCUGUGUACUAUUAUUUUACACAUGCAGUUAAUAAAUAUGAAUACACAUGAGAUGACAUAUUAAUUGAACUCUAAUUCUGUUAUCAUUAUAGUAACACAUGGUUGUAGUUUUGAUUGAAAAAUAUUACAUGACAUUGAAAAGAGGGUAAACAAAAGUUUUGAUAAGUGAUUAAGUGGAUGUUUUGGUUAGCGGUGAGAUCGUCAGACUCACGGUGAACCAGAUAGAUUUUUGCAAAAGCUACACUUUGUAGCUUCAAUAAAAUCAUGGUGUCACUGUGAUUUUGUCUGUCUCGCCGGCACCGCUCAUCCAACCAUAUAUUUCAAGAUACUAUGUCUACACAGCAUUCAAAGAUAUUUCAAGUAGGUAGAAGUGCUAACAUUGUGCCAUACAUUUUCUGAAAUUGAAUUGAAGUUGAGAAGAUGCUACAACUUUAUGGUUCGUGAAAAAUCAUGUAGUUUCUACGUAUGACCAAAGUUAGAGAAAAAAACAAAUAGUUUGAAACUUUAGAUAUCUAGCGAUGUCAACCGCAAAUCGUUGGUAAUAGAGUCUGUUCAAAUUACGCUACUUUUGUAGUGCUACAUACAUAACCACUAUUUGACCACACUUUGUACUAUAUAGAGAAUUGCAGAACAAUAGUCAGCGGUUUUUUCAAUUUCUGCUACGCUAUAGCCGCUCUUUGACAGCACUGUCAAUAAAUUCAGAAAGUUUAGUUUAAAUCUUACUGAAACAAAUUGAAGUUCAACAGUGUAGGACUAGGAUGCUUAUACUAUAUUCAGAAUUGAAAGAUAUUUCAAGUAACUGGAAAUUCUAACAUUGUGCAACAAAUUUUAUGAAAUUGAGUUGAAGUUCCCAUGACAGUAGUAAAUAAGAUGCUAGAAGUUUGGUGAAAAAUUAUGUAGAUUGUAUGAUCAAAGGUAAAAAAGAAAACAAAUAACUUUGGAACUUUAGGUAACCAGUGUUGUCAAUUGCAGAUUGCAAAAAGUAGCGGUUUGUUCAAAUUCCGCUAAUUUUAUAGUGCUAAUGAGCUGCUAUAGCCGCUAUUUGACAACAAUUUGUGGUAAAUAGCGUAUUGUGGAACAAUAUCAAUUUGUUCAGAUUCUGCUACGUUAUAGCCGCUAUUUGAAAACAAUGUCUAGAACUUAAAAAAUUUAAGUUUAAACCUUACUGAAACUAAUUGAAGUUCCACAGAUGGUUUUGUAUCCCCAAAAUAGACUAGGGAAAUAAACAAAUGCCACUAAAUGCAAUGCUUGUAAGUUUAGAAAAAUAUAUAGAAUCUGAAUUUAACCAUUGAUAGUAGAUUGUGAUUUCCACCAUGAAUUAAGGGAACGGGAAUGGAACACUAAAUUUUUAAAAGCAAUUUGUUUGGUUUGAGUGAUUAUGAAAGAAACUGCAUAUAAAUGUAUUUAGGAUUAUGUCGAUUAUAUGCCUCAACAAGAGUUCCCUUAUCUUUAUCUCAAACAAAGGAUAUACUGACAUUUCCUCAAAGGUUUUUCCUUUGAUAACUGGCCUGGUUAGUUUGAUUUUCUACUAUUGCUCUAUGUGCCAUUAUUUCCUGUUGCAUUUCAUUAGAUGCUGGAUAUUGUGCAGUCCUAGUUAGCCUAGUUUCUUACUGAACAUCUCCUAAUGUGCAUGGUUCGAUCUAUGUCAUUAAGAUUCGAUUAAGUUUUACAUUUGCUGCCGACUCUCUAACACAGCCCUCUUGUAAUCCUAUUAUCUGGGUUUGGGUAGCAAGGCUAACUAUAAGAGAAACUGUUAAGAAAGACCUAGAGAUUAAUGAGUAGGAUGGAGAUAUGAUAUGUGAUAGAAUAUUAUGGUGUCCAUUGAUCCAUGUAGCCGAUCCUACUUAAUGAGAUAAGCUUAAUUGUUGUUGCAUGGUUUGAUGUGUUGCUGGAUGUACUUUAUUAUAAUUAGAAACCUGUCACAUUGAUUGAGUCAUAGGUUUCAGUAAGACUAAUUCAUCCAUCCUCUUUAUUUAUUGUAUAUGAAUGUAAUCGAUCUUAUGACGCUUUUGGAUGACAUCAGAAUUUCACAAGAGCAGGAGCAUAUUGAGCUAGACGGUGACGAAGAGGAUGAUGAACCGAUUUUUGUUCUCACCGAUGAAUGGAGAGAGUUCUUUGCGAAAUCUGAAGCUAAAAGGAAACUAGGUAACUCUCGUCAUACAUACUUCAUUCAUACUACAUACAGCCACAUAAUGCUUUUAUUUGUGCUAAAUUGUAAUUUUUUAUUCUCAACUGAUCUUACUGUUGAAAAAUUGAGCAUGUCAUAUACUGUUUGACUAUGAGUCUGUUUGGAUUGGUUUAUUUGAACUUAUGUAUAGGCAAAAACACUGGCAAGACUGUUUGUGGAGCUAUGGAAGCAGUUUAUGAUAUGUCAAAAGCUGUUUUAGGAUAGCUUAUAUGAAAAUAGUUUGAUUUUGUUUUAUAUUUUCUUAUAGAAAUAGCUUAUACACAAGCACUUAUAUGAUAAACACUUAUGCUAUAAACAUUUAAUCAAGUUGUCUAUCAAAACAUGGCUUACUUAGAUUCGUCCAAUCUGCUUUUAAGCCAAUUCCGCUGACACACAGAAAACAUAAUCAGUGUGAUAUAUCUGAGUUUGAAUGAUCACAAUAAGAAGUUUAGGAAAAAGGAAAUUCUCAAUUACCUAACUCCUAAUUUUGAUAUUUAUUUUUGUACAAAAUCAUACAGAGAAGAAGCAGGCUAAGAAAGCAAAAAAGUAAAAGCAGAGAGGAGUGUUUGUUGGCGAAUUCUUUAUGGGUAUCAAGAAGAGGUUGUUCAAGGUUAUUGACGACAAUCCUGCUAUCGAGAACGUUAUGUGCUUGCCAUGUAUGACAACUCUUGCCCCUUGUCUGCACAUUUUAAAAGGAUGAUGAAUUACUUACUAAUACAUCUGUACUUAUACAGAUCGUCUUUUGUUCUAUAAAAAAUGUUGUCUGUAUAAAUUUUAUAAACUCAAGACUAAUUCAUAUUAUGACUUUUUAAUGUUCUUAUCCUUGUAUUUUCCGAUAGUUACUAGAGAAAAUGGCGUUGAAAGAAAAAGUUGAAUAAAUUGCGCUUGCAAUGGGCAUUGAAAAGUUCUAAAGAAUUUGAAAUGCUAAGAAUUUGAGCUGUAUUAAUUUAAUGCACUUUUGCAAAAUUUAUUUUUUGGAAAGUGUUCAAUGAAAUUAGUAUUUUUAAGGAAAUUGAACCAAAUACAUCAAUUUUAUCUGACUAAUUUUUUCUUAUAAUAAUUUUGGACGGAGGUAUCUAUGUAAACUCGUGUAUUUAGGUAAUGACGGAUGAUAUGAUUUUCGGUUUUAAUUUGGUAGGAAAACAUGACUUUAUAAUAUCUAUAAUAUCCCUGUAAGCUUCAUAUUUUAAUUUGAUAAUCUCCAUGUAUGAUAUACUUAUAUCACAAUUUAAAGCUCUUUGUCCCUUUUAAAAAAAUGAGUUAUGUAUAGAUCAAACCACCAUCAUCCACCUACAAACUCAACAUUGUCUAGCCAAUUGAACUAUACCUAUUAAGUUGAGAAAAUUUUAUUUAUUCAAAAUUUACUUUGAUAUAUAAACUUAAAAUAUAAAUUAUCAGAUGAAAUUUGUGCAACACAAUCUUUGUUCUAAAUGUUUUCAACAAAAACGGUUCAAUGCAUGGUUCUCAUGAACUAGAUAUCAAAUUUCACUUAAGAUAUAGAUUUGAUGUGUCGGGAAUGGAAGACCAUAAAAUGUGUUGACAAUGACUAAUCUCUAUGUGAAACCAAAUUAUUGGUUGUUGAAAUAAUAUCGAGCUCCUUAACAAAUAAAUAACUUUGAACCAAAUGACUAAGAUAUUUUGUUUUUCUUUUUUUGGUAAAAACACAAAUUGUGUACGGAAAAUGCUGCAGCACACAUAUGUGGAAAACACUUGGGUGACAUUGAGUGUCAUGUGAUAUUGGGCAACUACAAUGUCACAAGUGUACAAAAUAACAAAAAUUUCUUGUAAGUGAGAGAGAAGAAAGCCAAAAUUUUUAUUUUGUACACUUGUGUCAUUGUGGUUGGCCAAUGUCACAUGACAUUGGCACCCCAAUGUCACCCAAGUGCUACCCACACAUAUGUGGUCACAAGCUCAAGAAAAUCUUCCAUCUUGCUAUUAUUAGUUGGUAUGGUCAUAUACGUUGCUUCCUGUCUUAAAUUUAAUUCAAUCGGAAAUCAUGUUGUUCCUCAAUACCUAAAAAGUUAUACCUACAAUACGAUAAAUAGUCGUCACUUCUUUAGGUUUAUGUACACGUUGAUAUCAGUGGCAGAUCCAGGAAAUUUAUGGAGUCCGGGCAAAAAAUUAAUCGUAAAUUCACAUGUGCAUAAUAUAUAAACAGUUAUAAAUCAAAAUAUUUUUUUUAUUUUUAUUUUUUUUCCUAAAAAAAAUUGAAUUAAAAGAGGUUUAUCAUUUUGUCAACAAAAGUACAAUUUAAAAUAGGGUUAUUAAUUGAAAUUGACCACAUAAUAUACAUGAAGUCUGAAAAUUUACCCUGUAAUUAAAUAACAUGUAUUUUGACCAUGUAAUUCGAGAUUUUUAUUAUUUAUAACCUGUAAUAUACGCGAAGUCCAAAAAAGAAACCGAGAGAUUGAAUUUUUACAUGAUUUCCUAGAGGCGAGUUAAAAACGUUAAAAUAUGGCUUUAACAAAAAAAAUUAUAAAUUUUCGACAAACGACAAAUUAAUUAUGAAUUUUUAAAGUGUCAAAAGCUCAAAAAACAAAACAACGGAAAUCUCGAUCUAUAAAUAGAAUUUUGAGCUCAUUAUUUGCAGAGAAAUCUAUAAAAAAAUACAUAAAAAGGAUAUGUAAAGUUUCAUAACAUUUCAAAGUCGUUUAAAUUUAUUUUGAUUUUUCAACUAAAACGUGCAAAAUUGAAAUUUUGUUCCGCGUAAGUGUAUACUCACAAGUCAAAUUUAGUUCCCUAAUUUUGUAGGCAUGACUAGAACAUGAUAAGAACCUUCACAAUGAAAUUUUGUAAUUUUUAAACGAGAUAAAAAUUAAUUAUAAAUUGUUUAAGAAAUUCAUAAUUAUGAGGGAAUAAAAAUUCAUAAUUAAUUUAUCCCUGGUCGAAGAAAUUUAAUUUUGUGUAAAGCUAUAUUUUAACGUGCUAAACAUGUAUGAAAAAAAUAGUGAAAAAAUUCAACCCGUAGGUCACAUUUUUAGACUACACGUAUAUUAUAGGAUGGUCAAAAUUAAAUAAGAAGAAAUUCAAGUUACAAUGCUAGAAUAUAUGUUUUGUAUUUUAUUGGGUCACUUUUCAAACAUAAAGUAUAUUACAGGGUCAAUUUGAACAAUUAACCCGUUAAAAUAAUAGAGAUGAACCCGUCAAUAGUGUGCUAAAUAAAAUUCCAAAACCUACUUGCGUGUGACAAUUUUCAGAUUGCCCAAAAUUUUCUUUUUGUAAAUGUGUUAAUGGGCUUUUGGGUUGAGUCUAAUGUGAAAAAAUUAUCGAUCGAGCCCGGGCGACUGUCCCGGAUCGCCAUACGGUAGAACCGCCCCUGGUUGAUAUCGUUACUAAAGUGAAGACUUAGACUUUCACAUAUAAUUCAAACGAGUCAUGUUUCAAACAUGAAGCGUAGAAGUUAACCACAUACCCUAAUUAUCUCUAAUUGAUUAAAGAAAUUAGAAUUAAGUUCACAUGCAAUGGUUCAUACUCGAGCUAGUCAUAAGCUUCCAACUCUAAUCUAUGGUUAAAUCACACAUGUUAGGUAUGUCGCACUUCCUAGUGCGUGAAGACAAUAAAAAAGUAUGAAACAUCUGAAAAUUAAACAUAACUCAUAUCAUAUAACUAAAUAAAAGACUUGCAUUCAACAAAUAAAUAGAAAUUCAUCUUAGAAUCCUAAUCAGUAAAUUUUUAAUUACUCAUGGUAACAAAAAGACAUAAUACAAAAGAAAUGAAAAAUACUCUUGUGACAAAACGGAGGAUGAUUGAGGCUCCCACUUGAUGCUCAUAACGAUUGCCCUCCUCUUAAACUACCAACUUCUGAAUGAAUGUUAUUGUGCGGAAGACCCUCUAUUUAUAAGCAUAUUGUAUAGUGUUGCCACAUUGAUUAAUAAGAUAUGACACAUAAUGUAUUUAAUUCAUUAAUAGUGUGUCAACACAUCAUUGAAUGUAUCUAUAAUAUUUUUUUAUUUUUUUAUAUUGACAUUGUAUAUAAAUUAAACUCUAAGAGUUUAGGGUCUAGUUACAAACAUACUAUGUGAUUUAGAUCUCUCGUUGAAGAAGAGAAAUGGAAAGAAUUAAGAAAGAGGAAGAAUAUGGAUUUUAGUUUAGGGAAUUUAAUAAAUAUUUUCAGGGACAAAAUUGUCUCCAAAUAUUAUUAUUGUGGGUCCUAAAUGUCCCUGAAUAGUUUGAAAUAGGUGGAAUAUCGUAUAAACUUGUAACAUUUUUUAUUUUUUUGGUACAAUGAUUGUAACAUAUUUAAAAUAAAAAUAACGUAUCCAAUAUUUUUUGUAUGGGAUCUAAAAGUUGAUGUUUAUUUUCUCAAGUUCAACCUGGAUUUCGUGUUUUUUUUUCUUUUCAAAAUGAAUAUGUCCACGCUUUACUAUAUUUUUCCAAAAGAAAGACUAGGUGUGUACUAUUUAAGACCAAAAACAACAUAAUUUUAAUGCAAACCUCAUAUAAUGCAAUAGAGAAAUGAUAUUUGUACAACCAAUUUGUAAUAAUUUUUUAACAACUUUCUCUCUCAUACUCAUAUUAUCCUCUUAUUCUCUUUCUUCCUUUUUCUCUCUCCAAUAUUUUUAACCAAUGAAAAGAGAGAGAAAAUAAAUUGUCACCAAAAGUUAUCUCAAAUGGUUGUUAAAAUAUCACUACUCAAUGAAAUACCACAUUCAAUGAUCUUAUAAAACUUCUAUGUAUGGUGGUUGAUGAAAAGGAGUGGUAACGAUCCAUGUCUGCCCUACCUUAGGUUCUCUCUUAAUAUUGACCACAUAUGACUUACUUCACAAAAAUGAAGAUAAUUUGAUACGAUAAAUAAUAAAAAAAGAUAAAAAUGAUUUUACUAAUUGGCCACAUAUUAACUAAUGGCAAAACGUCAUCGUGAGCUUAACUCAGUUGGUAGAAAAAAUGCAUAAUAUAUGUAAGGUUCGGGGUUCAAACCCCGGCCACCACAAAAAAAAAACUAAUGGCAAAGCUACACGAGUCUUUUAUAUUAUUUAUUUUUUUUAUAAUAUUUGGGGGUUUAUCUUUUAAAGUCUGAGAAAUGCUAACGAGUGUUCUAAAGACACUCUUUAACAACCUUAAAUAAUAAGUAUUUUUUAUUUUUUUUUUAUAGAAAUUGAUGAAUUUAAUGCAUCAAAAAUUGAAUUAAUUGAUUUUUUCAAUAAAUAUUUUCUUAAUUAGAAAUCCUUAAAGAAUGUCCUUAAAAAAUAUGAUGAGUUGCCUUGCCACAUAAGAUUAUUAAUAAUAAUUUUAUUCUUACCCAAUUUAUUUUAUCAAAUUCCCCUAGAAAAAGACAACAUUCAUAAUCUUCAUCAUUAUCUUCAUCUUCAAUCUUUGUCAUCGACCUUCAUCACACAAAUCAUAAUCUUCACAAUAAUCUUUUUUGUUGUUGGAUUUUUUUGGGAAAAAGAUGAAGAUUCUUGAUUUUUAUAUAGGUUUGAAAUUUGAGGAAAACGACGAUGAAUAUAAAAAAAAUGAUGUUUUUUUUUUUGGAUUUAUUUUAUUUAAAAAAGAAAAUUAUAUAAGAAUAAUAUUAUUAUUAUUAUUAUUAUUAUUAAUCCUUUGUGAUAAGUGAACUCAUAAUUUUUUGAAUAAUAAAUGUAAAAUAGGAUUAACUUGUAUACUCUUUAAAUAAUAAAUGACUUAAAUGUUUAAAAAAAGAAGAUAAAUAACCUAAGUGUUACAAAUAAAUAUUACUGAUACAAAAUGAUCUAACUUGUAUGCAUUUCAAAUGAUAAAUGUCUUAAAUGUUAAAAAAAGAAGAUAAAUGACCUAAGAUAAAUGUUCUAAGAUAAAGGGGCCAAUACAAUUUUGCCUUAACUAAUUAAAUAUUGGUACAAAAUGGAGAAUAUAAUAAUUUAGAAGUUAUGCACAUAGCUUAUUGCCUUAACUAAUUAUUUUGGUGUGCAAAUGUGACGCUUAUUGCAAGACAAAGAAUACUUACUAAAAUAUAAAAAGACGUUUUUCAUAAUGUUUAAUAUUGGAAAACGUUUUCCAUAUCGUGAACUUCAUGCAUGACUUUUCUACCUACAUAUUCGUUUUCAAUAAUGCUAUAGAAUUCAGAUGCUAUAAAUAGAUGUGAAGUAUUUAUGGCUAAUGCAUCCUCUGAACCCAACAAGUCUCCAUGGAUCUUCCUUCUUUUUUUCCAAUUGUUGCAUCCAUCUUAGCCUUAUUGAUUGUACAACUUCGAUUUAGAUCUAUUAGAUCACCUAAUAGACUUAAAGAAACAAUAUUCAGCAAAAAUCACAACAAAAUACCUGAACCAUGUUUUGCCUUACCUUUCAUAGGCCACCUUCAUCUUCUAAGCACUAAAGAACCCUAUUUUAGAACCUUUUCAACCAUGGCUGAGAAAUAUGGUUCAAUCUUCUCCCUUAGGCUUGGUUGCAACCAAACCUUAGUGGUGAAUAGUAGAGAAAUUGCCAAGGAAUGUCUCACAAAAAAUGACAAAGUUUUUGCCUCAAGACCUAAUGUAGCAGCAGGGAGAUACUUAGGUUACAACAAUGCUAUUUUAGCUCUUGCUCCUUAUGGAGAUUAUUGGCGAUACAUGAGAAAAAUUUCAACUCUUGAGCUUUUAUCAAGUCAUAGGCUUGAAAAGCUAAAGCAUGUUAGAGAUUUUGAGAUAUAUUCUCUAGUAAAAAAUUUGUACACAUUUGUGAAAAAAACAAAUGGUUCAAUUGAAGUACCUAUUAGCAAGUUUUUAGAUCAUAUGACAUUUAAUAUAAUUGUGAAGAUGAUAGCUGGUAAAAGAUUUAGUGGUGAAACAAUAAAUCAAGAAGAUAGUGAGGCAUGGAGAUUAAGAAAUGCAAUUAAAGAUACUACAUAUCUAUGUGGUGUUUUUGUUAUGGCUGAUGCUAUUCCUAGCCUAAGUUGGAUUGAUUUUCAAGGCCAUGUUGGUUUCAUGAAGAGGACUGCUAAGGAAAUGGAUUUCAUUCUUGAUAAGUGGUUGAGUGAACAUUAUAAAAAGAGAGAUGAAGUACAAAGUGGUAAGGAGGAUGAUUUCAUGGAUGUAUUGAUAUCAAUGUUUGAAGAAGAUGAUGAAAUUUGUGGCCACAAACGGGAGACAGUUAUCAAAGCAACAACCUUGGUACGUUUUUCUUCAUGCUUAUAUUAAGUACUAAAAUUUGAAAGUAAUAUGUCCAUCAAUUAUCUUUUUUUGGUGGUGUCCGGGAUUCGAAUAUCAUAUCUUACAUAUAUUAUGUAUUGUCCAUCAAUUAUCUAUCAAUAAUAAAUCAUUUCAAGAGUGAAAACAAUUUCACAAGCAAUUUAUAGUAUUUUUAAAAACCAUAACCUAAUCCAUAGAACUUUUUUUUCUUGACCGAACUAAUCCAAAGAAUUGAAAACCGUACAAAACUGAAUAUUAUUUUAUAUAUAUUUGGAUGUUUUUUUUUUUAAUAGAAACCGUUCAUAUCAUAUCUCAUAUUCCUUCUUAAAAUUUAAACCAAACUAGAAACAUAUAUCAUAAUACUUAUUUUCUUAUUAAUGUGAUAUAUUGCAAUAUGAAUCUAUUACUUGAUGACUUUUUAUUUAUUUAAUAAUACUCAUAGUCUAAUUUAAUCUAUUUUUUUUCUUCUAUUUCACAUAUUUCAAACAUAAUCGAUCAUUGUCAUUCAUUAAUGUUAAUUUUCAGUAUAUUAUAUGUUACAUUUUACACCAAAUAUAGUACUUUACCAUGUUUUUAUAAUAUUCAUAAAAAAUUUACAAUUUUAAUUUAGGUAUCCAAAAAUCGACUCAAAUUAAACUGCAAUGAAUUAUCAAUUUUUUUUAAAGAAGUCGUCCAAAUUGAACCUCGUAUUAUUUUGUCUAUCGAUUGAAUGAUUUUUUGCUUCAAAAUCGAUCUAGACCGACCGCGAAUACCUUAUAUUGAAUUUUGAAGUGCAAGGUCUUGCUCAAGUAACUAACCUUGCAAAUAUUUUUCAUUUGUUAUUUAGGCCUAAAUGAAGUUUUAAUCUCCAUAUGUUAUUUGUUACACGGCUUUAGUCCUUCUAUUUCUAAAUACAAAAAUAUACUUAAUCAGUUUUGAAAGUUUCAAAUUUUUUCACCAUUAAAUAUCAUACUUAUUUUUACUAAUGUAUAUAUCAUGUUAAAUAAAUAUGAGUUGUACACACAGGUUGCAUUCGAGACUUCUAAAUGAUCUAUGUAUACCCAUGCUUUCAUAUACACCUUGAGAGAGAACAAAAAUAGAGAAAACGAUACAAUAGAAAGCGAGAUAUAGAGAAAAUUAGAUGUUACAUGAGUAUCAAGGAACUAUCUGUGAAAAAAACUUCACCUAUAUGAUAAAAUAGUCAAGACCAUAAUUUCCACAUCCAUAUAUAAAUUUGUUUGGCCUAAUAUAUAGAGCUGUCAAAACGGGCGGCCCGGCCCGUUUAGGCCUGGCCCGGCCGGGCCAAGGGAUUUUAAGGGCCGGGCUAAAAAGCCCGGUUUGAAUAUGGGCUGCAAAAAAUGAGCCCGAUCCCGGCCCUAUACAGGCUCCCGGGCUAACGGGCCGGCCCUGGCCCGUAUUUUUUUCUUCCCUUUUCCAUUCUUUUAAGUACGGAACAUACAUAAAUAUGCCGGGCCAGCCCGGGCCCGUAUCAGUCUCUCACACACACAGAUCACAAAAAAAAAAAAAGUUGUAUUUUUUGCGGGCUUCCGGGCAGCCCGAAGCCCGGACGGGCUAGCCCUAACGAGCCAAGGGCUUUUACGGGCCGAGCUAAAAAGCCCUCUUCAAUUUCGGGCUCCAAUUAUUCGGCCCAAGCCCUACAUUUUAUUCGGGCUUUUGGACCGGCCCUUACGGCCCGGCCUAUUUUGACAGCUCUACUAAUAUAAGACUUUGAUUAAAUAUGUCUGUUCUAAAAACUUCACCUAUAUGAUAUAAUUUUUUUUUCUUUUCUGACAAUUAUUUUGCUUGCAGAUUCUUAUCCUUACAGCCUCAGGAAGUACAUCAAUAACAUUAGGAUGGGCUCUUUCCCUACUUAUAAAUCAUCCAAAGGUCUUAAAACAAGCAAAAGAAGAGUUGGACACAAACAUAGGAAAAGACAAAUGGGUCCAAGAAUCUGACAUCAAAAACCUUAAAUAUCUUCAAGCCAUUAUCAAAGAGACACUUCGUUUAUACCCACCAGCACCCUUAACAGGAAUAAGAGAAGCCACUGAUGAUUGCCACGUGGCAGGCUACAAAGUCACCAAAGGCACUCGUUUGUUUAUUAACCUAUGGAAAUUGCAAAGGGACCCACUAGUAUGGUCCAACCCUAAUAAAUUUCAACCUGAGAGGUUUUUCAAUAUUCAUGAUCAAAUUGAUAAUUUUCAGAAUCAAGAAUUUGGAUAUUUGCCAUUUAGUUAUGGAAGAAGGUCAUGUGCUGGUGCAACGUUUGGAAUGCAAGUCUUGCAUUUGACUUUGGCUAGGUUGAUUCAAGGGUUUGAUAUAAACACAAAAGAUGGUGGUCCAGUUGAUAUGAUUGAAGGAGUAGGAUUGGCAUUGCCUAAGGAAAAUCCACUUGAUGUUAUGCUCCAACCACGUCUCCCAUUGGAACUUUAUGAAAGCCUUUGAUAUUUGUAUCAAGUGUCAAAAGAAAAUAUAAAAUAUAGUUUUUUUUUUCUUUUCUGAUAAAAUAUAUUGUUUGAAUAAUAUGAUAUGAGAUGGGAGCUCAUGAAUAAUCAUAUCUCUAGAAAUAUACAAUAAUGUAAUGUACUUUUUAUUUUGGAAAUGUCUCAAGAUCCACAUGAAUGCUAGAAAUUAUAUAAUACACUAUGUAAGCAUCUUUGGUGUUUAACAAGUGUUGACACAAAGACAGGAAAUCGACAAAUCUAGAUACAUUACAUCACAUAUCUCUUUUAUAAAUUAGUAUAGCUAUUUAUGAGUCAGUGUCGUGCAUGUAUUUGGGGGUGUGAGAAUAAGUCAAGCUACACGAUAGGUAUCUAUAACUUAUUAUCGUCUGAUUCGGUUUUGCCCGUUUAAUAAAAAAAUUAGGUUCAAACACUUUAAAAAAUUUAUUAUUUAAAUAGUUCAGAUUUAAGAUAUUUAAAAAGCCAAUUAGGUAUACAGAAGGAACUACGCGACAACAAUGUUUGCAAUGUUUUGAAGAUUUUUUUUCCCCUAAACACAUUUGGAUUAUAGAAUACCAAAAGGAAACAAUAUUGCAUUAGCACACAACACAUGUAUUCAAAAUCAUGUACAAAUAUAUUUUACAAAUCAACUGAAUAUAUAUAAAUAGGGCUAAUGAACCCAUAAACUCUCAGUAUCAUAGUUUUAAAAUUCGGCUCGGUCAUCGACUCGGCGGGGAUACUGGAUCAAUGGAUCAAUGGUCGAACCACUGAGUCAUUGGUCGAACCGCAUGACUAAAUCGGAACCACUCGGAUGACUCGGUUAGAUAACUCGGUUCUUAGAUUAAAUUUAUAUAGUUAUUUAACCGGAUUAACUCGGAUUGAAUCGGUGACUCGGUCACUUUAGAAACUAAAAUAAUUAAUGAGUGUUGUAAUUUAAAAAAUGUUUACAUUUAAGGACAAAAAUAAAAUCAAAUGGAUGUUUAAAUAUAUGGACGAAGAUAGUAAUACAUAUUCAAAUAAAUAUAGUAAAAUAAAACUAUUCUUUCAAAAAAAAAAAUAUUGUAAAAAAAAUGUUUAUUAAAAUAUUUGAGAUGUCGGACAAUAAUAUUUAAAUGAUAAGAGUGUGCUUGGUUCCUUAAAAUAAAAAAGAGUGUUUGGUUUCCUUUAAAAAAAACUGUUCAGUUAUUAUAUAUAAUUGAUAAGAAGAUCUACACAGCUCAGUGGGUAAAGGGAAUGCAUUGCAAUCUAAGAGACGCGGGUUCAACUCCCUGCACUGCCAUUUUUUGGAAAAUUAAUAUGAUUUAAUUUAUGUUUCACGUUGCCGGUUCACCGUUUUUUCACGAGUUUGGUCGGUUCCGGCUGGUUUGAUUGCAUGACCGAUCCGUUUAUCAACUCGAACCGGUCAUCCCACCGGUUCACGGUCGGACCGGUUCAACCGGCCGGUCCGGUCCAGUUUUCAAAACUAUGCUCAGUAUGUAAAAGAAAAGUUAUGCUUAGUACACAAUAUUUUUUGGCAACUCUUUUGUCUUUACUUCAACAAAUAUUCUGGGAAUCAAACAGAUAAAUGCUUAUCCAAUGCAAGAAAUAAUAUAAAGAAAUAAAGGUCCAAGUGGUAGUUGGUAUUUAUACUAAAAAAGUAGUUCAAGCAUGGUUAAUUUUCCUUGCUUAGUGAAAUACGUGGUAGGGUAAAUAUUAGAACAUAUAUGGCCAUUUUUCUCCGCUCAUUUACUCUCAUUGGUUUCAAGUCACAUCCAAGAAAAAGUAUAUGGCUAAAAUAGUGUCAUACUCAUAUAUAGUAGUUGUUUUUCUAUCCUUGUCCUUUUCGUUAAUCAACUAUCUUCCACACCAAUUUAAUUUUUGAUGCAUUAAUUCUUGAAACCACUAAAAGAAAACAAUGAUAGUUAUCUUCUCAAAAAUCAUGUAACACAUCUUUACUCCCACAAAAAUGGAUAAUUUCUAUACACAACCAGCAACUAUAGUACUAGCUAUACUUUUAGUGCUUCUAUACAACAUAUGGAGGGUAAAAAAACCUAGUAACAAAUUCAAGGGUAUGAAACCACCAGAACCAUCAUAUGCCUUACCUUUAAUAGGUCACCUCCAUCUACUAGGAAACCAAAUCCCUCUUGCAAGAAUCUUUGCUUCAUUUUCAGACAAAUAUGGUCCUAUCUUCCAAAUCCAUUUUGGAGCAUACCCUGCACUUAUUAUUUCCAACAAAGAAGCAAUCAAAGAAUGUUUCACUACAAAUGACAAAAUCUUAGCCUCAAGACCAAAGUCAAGUCAUGGAAUUCACCUAGGUUAUAACUAUGCUGGCUUUGGUUUUGCACCUUAUGGCCCAUAUUGGACCAAGCUAAGAAAAUUAACCAUGCUUGAACUACUUUCGUCUCGUCGCCUUGAAUCGUUGAGACAUGUUUAUGAAUCGGAGAUCGAUACUUUGAUAAAGGAUUUAUCAUUGUAUGUUAAGGUUGGAAAGGUUAAGGUUGUGAUAAGUGAAUGGUUGGAAAGGUUAACAUUUAAUAUAAUGACAAAAAUGAUUUGUGGGAAAAGGUAUUUUGAGUAUUUGAAAGAUGUGGAUGAUGUUGAAGCACAUGGGAAUAUUGUGAAACUUAUAAAAGAAUUUAUGCAUAUUUCUGGUGAGUUUGUUCCUAAGGAUUUGAUUCCAAUUCUUGGUUGGUUUGGUUUUGAAGGAAAAGUGCUAAAAUCUAUGAAAAGAAUUGCUAGAGAUUUGGAUGCAGUUGUUGGAAGCUGGGUUGAAGAGCAUGAUGUUGAGAUUGAGAGUAAGUCAAAUGAGAAAUAUGAUUUCAUUGAUGUUAUGCUUUCUGUGAUUGAAGAUGAUCCUACUUCUGGUCAUAACCGUGAUACUAUCAUCAAGGCAAAUGUUAUGGUAUGCAUUUUCUCUUUGUUCUGAAAUUUGCAAUGUUUUUAUUUAGAAACUAUGAAGCACGGACACAAACACGGAUACGAGACACAAUAUGGACACCGACACAUCGACACGGAUAAUAAUUUGAGAAAAUAAUGUAGUUCAGUGUAAUCAUAGGUGUCGUGUUGAUGUCGGACACGCGUCGAUGUCCGACAUCAAGACACGCCUAAUUCGAGGAGUGUCCGUGCUUCAUACUUCAAGUAAAAUGAAAAUCAGAACAAUUAUUUACAUGCAAAUAACUAAAUUUAACACACAACUUGGUGUAAAAAACAAACUAUUGUAACAUCAUAGCUUAAAAUGUUAUCAAAUAAUUCAGAAAUGGGGAUGGGUUGUUUUUAUUAUUUAAUUUGAACAAAUUAUUAUAAUUAUUAGUCAACAAGUCAACUUUUCAUAUUCAGAAUCUUAUGUUAGCUGGGUCAGACACAACAUCAACGACAAUGACAUGGAUCCUAGCCAUAUUGAUGAAUAAUAUGAAUGCUUUAAAACAUGCACAAGAGGAGAUUGACCAUCACAUAGGUAGGGACAGAAGGGUAGAAUCAUCAGACAUAAAAAACCUAGUUUAUUUGCAAGCAAUUGUGAAAGAAACUUUAAGGUUAUACCCUCCAGGUCCACUAUUAGUACCCCAUGAAGUAACAGAAGAUUGUUACAUUCAAGACUAUUAUGUACCAAAAGGGACACGUGUGUUUGCAAAUGUGUGGAAAUUACAUAGAGAUCCAAGUAUUUGGUUAGAGCCUGAAAAGUUUUUACCUGAAAGGUUUAUUAAUGAGAAUGGAGAAAUUGAUCAUGAAAGUCACCAUUUUGAGUACCUUCCUUUUGGAUUAGGGAGAAGAGCUUGUCCUGGAUCGUUGUUUGCUACACAAGUUAUUCUCAUUACACUUGCUCGUUUACUUCAUGGGUUUGAUUUGGAAGUGCCAAUGGAUGAAGUUGUUGAUAUGAGAGAAGGGUUGGGUAUUAC